GUGGGGAAUAUUGGACAAUGGGCGCAAGCCUGAUCCAGCCAUGCCGCGUGAGUGAUGAAGGCCUUAGGGUUGUAAAGCUCUUUCAGUGGGGACGAUAAUGACGGUACCCACAGAAGAAGCCCCGGCUAACUUCGUGCCAGCAGCCGCGGUAAUACGAAGGGGGCUAGCGUUGUUCGGAUUUACUGGGCGUAAAGCGCACGUAGGCGGAUCGUUAAGUCGGGGGUGAAAUCCUGGAGCUCAACUCCAGAACUGCCUUCGAUACUGGCGAUCUUGAGUCCGGAAGAGGUGAGUGGAACUCCUAGUGUAGAGGUGGAAUUCGUAGAUAUUCGGAAGAACACCAGUGGCGAAGGCGACUCACUGGCCCGUUACUGACGCUGAGGCGCGAAAGCGUGGGGAGCAAACAGGAUUAGAAACCCUGGUAGUCC
rnacentral:rRNA from 1 species